GAAAGGUGAUUGGCAACAGCAGGAUUGUGGCUGCAAGAACCAAAACCAUGAUUGGCAACAGCAGGAUUUUGGCUGCAAGAACCAAAACCAUGGACAACGAUAAUUUUAAACUUGGCCAUAUCUUUUGAGACACCAUGCUCUUUGUAGGCCAAAUGUCUCUCAUCUCUAACCCUUAUUCUUGGUGCUUUAAUAGGAGGCCUGCCUGGAGAACCACAUGUCUUGGGUGGAGGAGGACGAAUCACCUGAAAAGCCCAUGCCAAAAUCCCCCCAAGCAAGACCAACAAUGUUCUUGAAAAAAUCCCUGGAGGAAGCUUAAGAGAGCUGUUUUGCUAAGCUCUUCGAGUGUGAGCCCUGGCUGAAGCCGCAGAUAUCUUCCUGUU
rnacentral:misc_RNA from 1 species